AUGAAAUGACCCAGUACAGAGACACUCAGGAGGGGCACCUUGGAGGAAAUACAGAAGGAGAAAAUAGUGUUCCUGUCCUGAAAAUGUUAUAGCUUACUUAUGGAGAUGAGGAAAAGGGGGUCAAAGAACGUAUGGGAUGUGCUAAACAGCCACUGAGCUCCCUUCCACAUGUAAAAUUCUGUAAUUCUGUCAAUCCUUAAGCCGGCCAUUCGUUUAAGGAAGAUGGAGAGAAAGAAAAAG